AUCGCUUCUCGGCCUUUUGGCUAAGAUCAAGUGUAGGAUCGAUUACCUUCUACUUUACUUCACAUCUUGCUUAAUUCAGAAGCUUUUUUUCGGGUUUCCUGGUGUUUUUCGCUCCGAGUAAGCUGACGUCUUAAGUACCUCAGCCCUUGAAAGAACUU
rnacentral:snRNA from 1 species